CCUACGGGAGGCAGCAGUGAGGAAUAUUGGUCAAUGGGCGAGAGCCUGAACCAGCCAAGUCGCGUGAGGGAGUACUGCCCUAUGGGUUGUAAACCUCUUUUGUCGGGGAGCAAAAGCCGGACGUGUCCGGCUGUGGGAGUACCCGAAGAAAAAGCAUCGGCUAACUCCGUGCCAGCAGCCGCGGUAAUACGGAGGAUGCGAGCGUUAUCCGGAUUUAUUGGGUUUAAAGGGUGCGUAGGCGGCCUUUUAAGUCAGCGGUGAAAGUCUGUGGCUCAACCAUAGAAUUGCCGUUGAAACUGGGGGGCUUGAGUAUGUUUGAGGCAGGCGGAAUGCGUGGUGUAGCGGUGAAAUGCUUAGAUAUCACGCAGAACCCCGAUUGCGAAGGCAGCCUGCCAAGCCAUGACUGACGCUGAUGCACGAAAGCGUGGGGAUCAAACAGGAUUAGAUACCCUAGUAGUC
rnacentral:rRNA from 1 species